rnacentral:rRNA from 1 species
ACAUGACAGUCAAUUUUUUCGAGAGUUUGAUCCUGGCUCAGGAUGAACGCUGGCUGUGUGCCUAAUACAUGCAUGUCGAGCGGAGUUCUUCGGAACUUAGCGGCGAAUGGGUGAGUAACACGUACUUAACAUGCCCUCUAGAUUGGAAUAACGAUUAGAAAUGAUCGCUAAUGCCGGAUACUUAUUUCCUUCGCAUGAAGGAUAUAUAAAAGGAGCGUUUGCUUCGCUAGAGGAUUGGGGUGCGUAACAUUAGCUAGUUGGUAGGGUAAUGGCCUACCAAGGCUAUGAUGUUUAGCGGGGUUGAGAGACUGAUCCGCCACACUGGGACUGAGAUACGGCCCAGACUCCUACGGGAGGCAGCAGUAGGGAAUUUUCCACAAUGGACGAAAGUUUGAUGGAGCGACACAGCGUGCAGGAUGACGGCCUUCGGGUUGUAAACUGCUGUUAUAAGGGAAGAAAAAAUAAAGUAGGAAAUGACUUUAUCUUGACGGUACCUUGUCAGAAAGCAACGGCUAACUAUGUGCCAGCAGCCGCGGUAAUACAUAGGUUGCAAGCGUUAUCCGGAAUUAUUGGGCGUAAAGCGUCUGUAGGUUGUUUGUUAAGUCUGACGUGAAAACUUGGGGCUCAACCCCAAAUUGCGUUGGAUACUGGCAAACUAGAGUUAUGAAGAGGUUAGCGGAAUUCCUUGUGAAGCGGUGAAAUGCGUAGAUAUAAGGAAGAACACCAACUUGGCGAAGGCAGCUAACUGGGCAUACACUGACACUGAGAGACGAAAGCGUGGGGAGCAAACAGGAUUAGAUACCCUGGUAGUCCACGCUGUAAACGAUGAUGAUUAGCUGAUGGGGAACUCAUCGGCACAGCUAACGCAUUAAAUCAUCCGCCUGAGUAGUAUGCUCGCAAGAGUGAAACUUAAAGGAAUUGACGGGGAUCCGCACAAGCGGUGGAGCAUGUGGUUUAAUUUGAUGCUACGCGUAGAACCUUACCCACUCUUGACAUCUUCCGCAAAGCUAUAGAGAUAUAGUGGAGGUUAACGGAAUGACAGAUGGUGCAUGGUUGUCGUCAGCUCGUGUCGUGAGAUGUUCGGUUAAGUCCUGCAACGAGCGCAACCCUUGUCCUUAGUUAAAUGUUCUAAGGAGACUGCCCGAGUAAUUGGGAGGAAGGUGGGGACGACGUCAAAUCAUCAUGCCUCUUACGAGUGGGGCAACACACGUGCUACAAUGGACGGUACAAAGAGACGCAAUACGGCGACGUGGAGCAAAUCUCAAAAAACCGUUCUCAGUUCGGAUUGUAGUCUGCAACUCGACUACAUGAAGUCGGAAUCGCUAGUAAUCGUAGAUCAGCUACGCUACGGUGAAUACGUUCUCGGGUCUUGUACACACCGCCCGUCACACCAUGGGAGCUGGUAAUGCCCGAAGUCGGUUUUGUUAACUACGGAGACAACUGCCUAAGGCAGGACUGGUGACUGGGGUGAAGUCGUAACAAGGUAUCCCUACGAGAACGUGGGGAUGGAUUACCUCCUUUCUA